AUUGAACGCUGGCGGCAGGCCUAACACAUGCAAGUCGAGCGGAUGAAGGGAGCUUGCUCCUGGAUUCAGCGGCGGACGGGUGAGUAAUGCCUAGGAAUCUGCCUGGUAGUGGGGGAUAACGUCCGGAAACGGGCGCUAAUACCGCAUACGUCCUGAGGGAGAAAGUGGGGGAUCUUCGGACCUCACGCUAUCAGAUGAGCCUAGGUCGGAUUAGCUAGUUGGUGGGGUAAAGGCCUACCAAGGCGACGAUCCGUAACUGGUCUGAGAGGCUGAUCAGUCACACUGGAACUGAGACCCGGUCCAGACUCCUACGGGAGGCAGCAGUGGGGAAUAUUGGAAAAUGGGCGAAAGCCUGAUCCAGCCAUGCCGCGUGUGUGAAGAAGGUCUUCGGAUUGUAAAGCACUUUAAGUUGGAGGAAGGGCAGUAAGUUAAUACCUUGCUGUUUUGACGUUACCAACAGAAUAAGCACCGGCUAACUUCGUG
rnacentral:rRNA from 1 species